UACGUAGGUGGCAAGCGUUGUCCGGAUUUAUUGGGUUUAAAGGGUGCGUAGGCGGUCUGAUAAGUCAGUUGUGAAAUUCCUCGGCUUAACCGAGUGGACUGCGAUUGAUACUGUCAGACUUGAAUCAGGUUGAGGUAGGCGGAAUGUGACAUGUAGCGGUGAAAUGCUUAGAUAUGUCAUAGAACACCGAUUGCGAAGGCAGCUUGCUGGGCUUAGAUUGACGCUGAGGCACGAAAGCGUGGGGAGCAAACAGG
rnacentral:rRNA from 1 species